GACGAACGCUGGCGGCGUGCUUAACACAUGCAAGUCGAACGGAAAGGCCCUGCUUUUGUGGGGUGCUCGUGUGGCGAACGGGUGAGUAACACGUGAGUAACCUGCCCUUGACUUUGGGAUAACUUCAGGAAACUGGGGCUAAUACCGGAUAGGAGCUCCUGCUGCAUGGUGGGGGUUGGAAAGUUUCGGCGGUUGGGGAUGGACUCGCGGCUUAUCAGCUUGUUGGUGGGGUAGUGGCUUACCAAGGCUUUGACGGGUAGCCGGCCUGAGAGGGUGACCGGCCACAUUGGGACUGAGAUGCGGCCCAGACUCCUACGGGAGGCAGCAGUGGGGAAUAGUGCACAAUGGGCGGAAGCCUGAUGCAGCAACGCCGCGUGCGGGAUGACGGCCUUCGGGUUGUAAACCGCUUUCGCCUGUGACGAAGCGUGAGUGACGGUAAUGGGUAAAGAAGCACCGGCUAACUACGUG
rnacentral:rRNA from 1 species